UACGAAGGGGGCUAGCGUUGUUCGGAAUCACUGGGCGUAAAGGGCGCGUAGGCGGCCGAUCAAGUCGGGGGUGAAAGCCUGUGGCUCAACCACAGAAUUGCCUUCGAUACUGCUUGGCUUGAGACCGGAAGAGGUAAGUGGAACUGCGAGUGUAGAGGUGAAAUUCGUAGAUAUUCGCAAGAACACCAGUGGCGAAGGCGGCUUACUGGUCCGGUUCUGACGCUGAGGCGCGAAAGCGUGGGGAGCAAACAGG
rnacentral:rRNA from 1 species